CGUAAUCGGAAUGAGUACACUUUAAAUCCUUUAACAAGGAUCAAUUGGAGGGCAAGUCUGGUGCCAGCAGCCGCGGUAAUUCCAGCUCCAAUAGCGUAUAUUAAAGUUGUUGCGGUUAAAAAGCUCGUAGUUGGUUCUGCGUGCCGCGCUGUCGGUUCGCCGCCUGUCGGUGUAACUGGCAUGUCGCGGCAUGUCCUGUCGGUGGUGAACUGGGUCCCCGGUAUGGCAUAGGCUUCCUAUGGCUUAUGUUUAUACCGUGCGUGACCUCGUUUGCCGAUUUCUCCUACUUCGGUGCUCUUAAACGAGUGUCGAGGUAGGCCGACACGUUCACUUUGAACAAAUUAGAGUGCUUAAAGCAGGCUGAAAUAUCUGCCUGAAUAGUGGUGCAUGGAAUGAUAAAAUAGGACCUCGGUUCUAUUUUGUUGGUUUUAGGAAUAUGAGGUAAUGAUCAAUGUGGACUGGCGGGGGCAUUCGUAUUGCGACGUUAGAGGUGAAAUUCUUGGAUCGUCGCAAGACGCACUAGAGCGAAAGCAUUUGCCAAGUAUGUCUUAAUUGAUCAAGAACGAAAGUUAGAGGUUCGAAGGCGAUCAGAUACCGCCCUAGUUCUAACCAUAAACGAUGCCAGCCAGCGAUCCGCCGAUGUUCUUUUAAUGACUCGGCGGGGAGCUUCCACCCGGGAAACCAAAGCUUUUGGGUUCCGGGGGAAGUAUGGUUGCAAAGCUGAAACU
rnacentral:rRNA from 1 species